rnacentral:rRNA from 1 species
GUGAGGAAUAUUGGUCAAUGGACGAGAGUCUGAACCAGCCAAGUCGCGUGAAGGAAGAAGGAUCUAUGGUUCGUAAACUUCUUUUGCAGGGGAAUAAAGUGCAGGACGUGUCCUGUUUUGUAUGUACCCUGAGAAUAAGGAUCGGCUAACUCCGUGCCAGCAGCCGCGGUAAUACGGAGGAUCCGAGCGUUAUCCGGAUUUAUUGGGUUUAAAGGGUGCGUAGGUGGUUUGAUAAGUCAGCGGUGAAAGUUUGCAGCUUAACUGUAAAAAUGCCGUGGAAACUGUCGGACUUGAGUGUAAAUGAGGUAGGCGGAAUGCGUGGUGUAGCGGUGAAAUGCAUAGAUAUCACGCAGAACUCCGAUUGCGAAGGCAGCUUACUAAGCUACAACUGACACUGAAGCACGAAAGCGUGGGGAUCAAACAGGAUUAGAUACCCUUGUAGUCC